rnacentral:rRNA from 1 species
CGUAGGGUGCGAGCGUUAAUCGGAAUUACUGGGCGUAAAGCGUGCGCAGGCGGUUUGUUAAGAUAGGCGUGAAAUCCCCGGGCUCAACCUGGGAACUGCGCUUACGACUGGCAAGCUAGAGUACGGCAGAGGGGGGUGGAAUUCCACGUGUAGCAGUGAAAUGCGUAGAGAUGUGGAGGAACACCAAUGGCGAAGGCAGCCCCCUGGGUCGAUACUGACGCUCAUGCACGAAAGCGUGGGUAGCAAACAGGAUUAGAUACCCUGGUAGUCCACGCCCUAAACGAUGUCAACUAGGUGUUGGAUGGGUAAAACCAUUUAGUACCGGAGCUAACGCGUGAAGUUGACCGCCUGGGGAGUACGGCCGCAAGGUUA